UCAUGAUUUAAAUGUUGGUAUACAACUUUGCUUUUAAUAAAAAAAGGGACGAAUGGAUAACUAGGAUGGGCUAAAUAGGACGGAAGGACCGAAAAGGCGAGGAAGAGGCUUAGAAUUCGUAUGUCCAAGCGUAAACGCAGUGAAAAGAACUGGGAAGUGAAACAUCUCAGUACCAGAGCCGACUCACAAGAGAUCUCUUGAGGGUCUGUGGCGUAGAGAAAUCAAACGAGACCCCGUAAGUAGCGGUGAGCGAAAGUGGAUUAGUCCAAUAACUUAUUGAAGCGAGUAAAUAGUGGAAGAUAGGUGCCCACACAUCUAAGACUAAAUGUUAGCCCCAUACCGAAAGAGAGAGUACUGUAAAGGAAAGUUGAAAGAGAUUUGAAAAGAUCUUGAAAUGAGUCCCUUAAAGCAGUUGUGAUACAACGUACCUUUUGUAUAAUGGGUUUACAAGAUAAAAUUUGGCAAACUUAAGUUAAACUCGGUUUAAAAAACGAAGGUGAAGUAAAAUCAAGGGGGAAACCCCUUCAGUCAAAUUACCCGAAACCAAGUGAUCUAACCAUGAACAGUUUAAAGGAACGAACCGGUGGUUGUAGCAAAACCCUCGGAUGAUUUGUGGUUAGGGGUGAAAGACCAAUCGAACUUGGAGAUAGCUGGUUUUCUGCGAAAACUAUUGAAGUAGUGCGCCCACAAACAGGGCCCUUAUCAGGAUUUUACCGAGAUAUGGGGGAUUAUUUUUUCAUGGUAAAGUUCGAUCGCUCAAAACUGAGGGAUUAACUAUGAAUGUAAAAAAAUCGAAGUGGGCAGACAGACAGUAGGCGAUAAGGUCAAUUGUCAAAAGGGCAAGCCCUAAUCAGAAGUUAAAGUCAUGAAUCAGUUUGGGGAUUAAAACAGUCAAGUGAAAAAGAGAUAUUGGAUUUAGACAGUGAGGAAGUAGGCUUGGAGACAGCCACCUUUAAAAGAGAACGUAGCAGUUCACUCAAAAAGUUCUCCUAUCUCUAAAAUUAGGGUGGCUAAAACUGAACUGAAACUCUGAGGGCGAAAUACGCUUGGUAGCAGAACGUACUGUAAAUGGUUCAGUGAGAACCCUAAGCAUCAGAAAUGAUAAUGUGAACAUGAGUAAGAAGUCGUCGGAUCACUUCCCCAGGUUUCCAAGCUCGAGGGCUUGGGUUAUACAGUCCCUAAGAUGGCAGCCCAAAGGCUGCGUCGAUGGGCUAUAGUAAUAGACGCACUUGGUGCCAGGAAAGAAUUACUAGAUAUUCGACCCUCGAUGAGAGUUAUAAAAGGUUGCACUGUACUAACCUAACACAAGUGGGGAAUAGUGAGGGGAAAAAUUUUCUUAAGGAACUCGGCAAAACUUUGGACUCCCUCUAGGGAGUUAUUACAAUACAGGGCUUCGACUGUUUACCAAAAACAUAGCUCUCUGCUAAUAUGGAAAUAGAGGUAUGGAGGGUGAGGCCUGCCCAAUGGUUGUAUCUAAAAGAGUCGGUAAAAGCCGACUUCAUAAAGACAAUUGAAUGGCCGCGGUAACACUGACUGUGAUAAUGUAGCGUAAUCAAUAGCCAAUUAAUUGUUGGCCGGUAUGAAUGGCGUCACGAAGGCCCCACUGUCUUAAAAAGAUUCCCAGUGAAAUUGAAUUCGUAGUGAAGAUGCUACGUCCAAAUUGUUAGACGAAGAGACCCCAUUGAGCUUUACUGGAAACUUAUGCGGCUAAAAUAUAUUCUUGCUUACAGAGAUCUAUUAAGAGCAAGGAGUUAAAACUUAAAUAAAUAGCUAAGAUUAUGUGGUGUGAGACAUCUUGUUCUUCGACUCCUCUCAUAGAGAGGGGCUCGAUCUUGAUCUAAGAUUUAACCGUUUAAAACCAUCGGCCAAAGCCGUUGGCGAAGGGGGCCCACUCUUUUAUUUUAAGAGAGCUAACUCUCCUUCAUGGUGAGAGAAACGACGUAAGUUGGACAGUUUGGUUGGGGCGACCGCCUUUUAAAAAGUAACGAAGGUGAGCUUAAGGUGCAUAAUUAAUAGCAGACGCCUGACUGCAAGGGGUACGUCCCGAGCAGACACCGGAAGACCUAGACACAAGCUUUUAGGGUUGAAAAGGUGGGCUAUAAUGACCCGUUAGUUUAGAGUGGAAUAGUUAACGAUCAACGGAUAAAAGCUACCAUGGGGAUAACAGCGUAAUAUCGUUAGAGAGCUUUCAUCGACGACGAUGUUUGCGACCUCGAUGUUGAAUUGCAGCACCCUGGGGUGCAGUCGCUCCCAAGGGUUGGUCUGUUCGUCCAUUAAGGCUGUACAUGAUUUGAGUUAAAAGCGUGGUAACACAGCUUGGUUUCUAUCUACAAUUUGAAGAAACAUCGAUAUAAUUAUUUUCUAGUACGAAAGGACCGAAAAAUUAAUGAUCCUCUUAUUCUCUAUAAGUUACGAUCAAUUUAGAUCCUUUAGGAUCAGGCCCGCAUAGGAAGGUUGGGGGUCUUUCAGCUAAUCACUGACCGCCUCUAAAGUGUGAAGGAUAUAUCGAAUUGUUUGGAUUUUAUUUUAUUAACUCAGAGUUAAAAUUUGCCUAAUUUUCGAUCUAAAU
rnacentral:rRNA from 1 species